GUACAGUUUAAAACCCUUAACGAGGUUCUAUUGGAGGGCAAGUCUGGUGCCAGCAGCCGCGGUAAUUCCAGCUCCAAUAGCGUAUAUUAAAGUUGUUGCAGUUAAAAAGCUCGUAGUUGGAUCUCGGGUACUAGCAUGUGGUACGCUUAAUUGCUGUUACUAUAUGUCUGGUCCUAAUCAAUCGGUUGGCCGUUGAUGCCCUUUAUUGGGUGUUUUCGGUAGCCGGUACGUUUACUUUGAGAAAAUUAGAGUGCUUAAAGCAGGCUAUACGCCUGAAUAAUGUUGCAUGGAAUAAUAGAAUAGGACCUCGGUUCUAUUUUGCUGGUUUUGUAGAGCAUUGAGGUAAUGAUUAAUAGGGACAGACGGGGGCAUUCGUAUUGCGGUGUUAGAGGUGAAAUUCUUGGAUCGCCGCAAGACGAACAACUGCGAAAGCAUUUGCCAAGAUGUUUUCAUUAAUCAAGAACGAAAGUUGGAGGUUCGAAGACGAUUAGAUACCGUCCUAGUUCCAACCAUAAACGAUGCCAACUAGCAAUUAGCUGCUGUUAAUUAAACGACACAGCUAGCGGCUUCCGGGAAACCAAAGUUUUUGGGUUCCGGGGGAAGUAUGGUUGCAAAGCUGAAACUUAAAGGAAUUGACGGAAGGGCACCACCAGGAGUGGAGCCUGCGGCUUAAUUUGACUCAACACGGGAAAUCUCACCCGGCCCGGACACUGUAAGGAUUGACAGAUUGAGAGCUCUUUCUUGAUUCGGUGGGUGGUGGUGCAUGGCCGUUCUUAGUUGGUGGAGCGAUUUGUCUGGUUAAUUCCGAUAACGAACGAGACUCUAGCCUGCUAAAUAGUACGCCGAUCUUUAGUCGGCGCGUACUUCUUAGAGGGACAAGUAGCGGUUAGCUACACGAAAUUGAGCAAUAACAGGUCUGUGAUGCCCUUAGAUGUUCGGGGCCGCACGCGCGCUACACUGAAGGGAUAAGCGUGUUUUUCCUGCUCCGAAAGGAGUGGGUAACCCGCUGAAACCCCUUCGUGAUUGGGAUCGGGGCUUGAAAUUAUUCUCCGUGAACGAGGAAUUCCCAGUAAGCGCGAGUCAUAAGCUCGCGUUGAUUACGUCCCUGCCCUUUGUACACACCGCCCGUCGCUACUACCGAUUGAAUGGUUUAGUGAGAUCUUCGGAUUGGUCCGGAAGUGACCGCAAGGUUGCCUCUAGGUUCUGAGAAGAUGAUCAAACUUG
rnacentral:rRNA from 1 species